UGCCUCGGUGUGUCGAGAGAAAGGAACACUUGGUCCACCAAAGGAAGCUGGGCUCAGCGUUGAGUGAUGACCUGCCUCUGCUGGCCACACCUGGGGCAGUACAAUACUGCCUGCAGCUCCUUCCUGCCCGGUCUGCACGCUAAUCAGCCCAACACUAC